rnacentral:rRNA from 1 species
GAUGAACGCUGGCGGCGUGCCUAAUACAUGCAAGUCGAGCGAACAGAUGAGGAGCUUGCUCCUCUGACGUUAGCGGCGGACGGGUGAGUAACACGUGGAUAACCUACCUAUAAGACUGGGAUAACUUCGGGAAACCGGAGCUAAUACCGGAUAAUAUAUUGAACCGCAUGGUUCAAUAGUGAAAGACGGUUUUGCUGUCACUUAUAGAUGGAUCCGCGCCGCAUUAGCUAGUUGGUAAGGUAACGGCUUACCAAGGCAACGAUGCGUAGCCGACCUGAGAGGGUGAUCGGCCACACUGGAACUGAGACACGGUCCAGACUCCUACGGGAGGCAGCAGUAGGGAAUCGUCCGCAAUGGGCGAAAGCCUGACGGAGCAAGGCCGAGUGAGUGAUGAAGGUCUUCGGAUCGUAAAGCUCUGUUAUUAGGGAAGAACAAAUGUGUAAGGAAAUGUGCACGGCGUGACGGUACCGAAUCAGAAAGCCACGGCUAACUACGUG